rnacentral:rRNA from 1 species
AGGUUUCCGUAGGUGAACCUGCGGAAGGAUCAUUAUCGAAUAAACUUGAACAGGCUGUUGCUGGCCCUCUCAGGGGGGAACAUGNGCACGCUUGUCUCAUCUUUGUCAUUUUUUCCCCAACUGUGCACAUUUUGUAGACCCUGGAAGCUUUAUGAAUUUUCAUUCGAGUCGGGACUGCUGUGCCUCCUCGAGGUCGGCUUUUCCUUGCAUCUCCAGGGUUCUAUGAUUAUUUCUUCACAACCUCUCGAAUGUGUUUAGAAUGUCGAAUAUGAAUGGAAAAAGUACAACUUUCAGCAACGGAUCUCUUGGCUCUCGCAUCGAUGAAGAACGCAGCGAAAUGCGAUAAGUAAUGUGAAUUGCAGAAUUCAGUGAAUCAUCGAAUCUUUGAACGCAUCUUGCGCUCCUUGGUAUUCCGAGGAGCAUGCCUGUUUGAGUGUCAUUUGACUCCUCAACCACAUCCCCCUGAGAUGUGGCUUGGACUUGGGGGUUUUUUUUGCAGGCUUUCGUGAAAGGAAGGUCGGCUCCCCUGAAACGUAUUAGUGGCAUCUGAGCUGCUGCUAUUAGGUGUGAUAAUUAUCUAUGCCUNUGGUAUGNCUGCAUGAACAGGUCGCGCUGCUUAUAACGCUUGAAUCAUAAAUUUGACAAAUCUGACCUCAAAUCAGGUAGGA